rnacentral:pre_miRNA from 1 species
AUAACCGAUUUCUUCUGGUGCAUAGAGCCCGCUGCAGCCUUCUAGCACCAUUUGAAAUCGGUUAU